rnacentral:rRNA from 1 species
UACGUAGGCAGCGAGCGUUGUUCGGAAUUACUGGGCGUAAAGAGUGUGUAGGCGGUGCUCCCAGUCUGUUGUGAAAUCUCCCGGCUUAACUGGGAGGGUGCAGCGGAAACUAGAGUGCUAGAGGAUGGGAGAGGUAAGCGGAAUUCCUGGUGUAGCGGUGAAAUGCGUAGAUAUCAGGAGGAACACCUGUGGUGUAGACAGCUUACUGGACCACUUCUGACGCUGAGACACGAAAGCUAGGGGAGCAAACAGG